rnacentral:rRNA from 1 species
UUUUUUAAUUGAAAACUUGUAUGAAGGGUUUAACGAAAUAUUAACUGUUUCAGAAAAAUUUUUAUAGAAAUUAAUUUUUUAGUUAAAAAGCUAAAAUAUAUUUAAAAGACGAGAAGACCCUAUAGAGUUUUAUAUAUUGUAUUUAUUUUUUAUUAAUAAUAGUUUAAGUUUUAUAAAUUAAUGUAUUUUGUUGGGGUGAUAGUAAAAUUUGUAAAACUUUUAUUUUUUAUAAUCAAUAAUUUUUGUAAACUUGAUCCAUUUUUUAUGAUUAAAAGAUUAAAUUACCUUAGGGAUAACAGCGUAAUUUUUUUGAAGAGUUCUUAUCGAUAAAAAUUUUUGC